UGAACGCAGCAUUUCAACGUGGACCAAACUGUAAUAGCGCAUAAAUCCCAGGGAAAAAAUUUAAAAACAAAAGGCAUGCAAAAAGGGCAAAAAUCAAAUGAGGACACAAAAGCGAGGAACCAGAUGUGAAUUUACCCAUUUGGGGUAAAAAUGCACAAAUUCACCCAUUUAGAGCGCCGUUUGAUUUGUCUCUUUUUUAACCAAAAAAAAAAAUUAUUAAAACUCAUUUACUGCUUAAAACAAAGGAUAUUCCAUCUUUGAAACGCCCCCUUUCCUGCUCUUCUUCGACAAAUCCAAGAGAAACAGCUCAACCGCCAUUUUGAGCCGAGCUUCGAUUUCAGAGAGGGCUUCUCCGAUGCCGCGACGGUGGGUUCAGGUAUAAUGGACGUGGGGCGUGGGUCGUGCUUCACGCUCGUUGGCCGGACAUGCGAGGUGGAGUGCGUGGUGGUGGAGAACGUGGGUAGUGGAAGCAUGGAGGCAGUUGGAGGCUAGGGUCUUGGCUGAAAAAUAUUUUUGGGGUUUGUGGGUUAGGGUUAAGUAUUUGGGCUUCAAAAUUGGGUCUGUUUUUGGUCUUUGGGGUUUGUUUUUGGUUUAAAAAUUUGGGUUUUAAUGGUAAAUGGGCCCGGGCAAAAAUUGGUACCCACACUAAGCUUAAAAGUAAAAGAAAAAACACUUGCCAUUAAUUAAAUUAUUUGCUUAUUUUCCGUUUGGGAAAAGAAGUGAUGAUAAAUUAUGAGUUUUUGUUUGAAUGGAAGAUAAAAUUAAUUAA